rnacentral:rRNA from 1 species
GGUUAAGCGACUAAGCGUACACGGUGGAUGCCCUGGCAGUCAGAGGCGAUGAAGGACGUGCUAAUCUGCGAAAAGCGUCGGUAAGGUGAUAUGAACCGUUAUAACCGGCGAUGUCCGAAUGGGGAAACCCAGUGCAAUUCGUUGCACUAUCGUUAACUGAAUACAUAGGUUAACGAGGCGAACCGGGGGAACUGAAACAUCUAAGUACCCCGAGGAAAAGAAAUCAACCGAGAUUCCCCCAGUAGCGGCGAGCGAACGGGGAGCAGCCCAGAGUCUGAAUCAGCUUGUGUGUUAGUGGAACGGUCUGGAAAGUCCGACGGUACAGGGUGAUAGUCCCGUACACCAAAAUGCACAGGUUGUGAACUCGAAGAGUAGGGCGGGACACGUGGUAUCCUGUCUGAAUAUGGGGGGACCAUCCUCCAAGGCUAAAUACUCCUGACUGACCGAUAGUGAACCAGUACCGUGAGGGAAAGGCGAAAAGAACCCCGGCGAGGGGAGUGAAAAAGAACCUGAAACCGUGUACGUACAAGCAGUGGGAGCACCUUCGGGUGUGACUGCGUACCUUUUGUAUAAUGGGUCAGCGACUUAUAUUCUGUAGCAAGGUUAACCGUAUAGGGGAGCCGCAGGGAAACCGAGUCUUAACUGGGCGUUAAGUUGCAGGGUAUAGACCCGAAACCCGGUGAUCUAGCCAUGGGCAGGUUGAAGGUUGGGUAACACUAACUGGAGGACCGAACCGACUAAUGUUGAAAAAUUAGCGGAUGACUUGUGGCUGGGGGUGAAAGGCCAAUCAAACCGGGAGAUAGCUGGUUCUCCCCGAAAGCUAUUUAGGUAGCGCCUCGUGAAUUCAUCUUCGGGGGUAGAGCACUGUUUCGGCUAGGGGGUCAUCCCGACUUACCAACCCGAUGCAAACUACGAAUACCGAAGAAUGUUAUCACGGGAGACACACGGCGGGUGCUAACGUCCGUCGUGAAGAGGGAAACAACCCAGACCGCCAGCUAAGGUCCCAAAGUCAUGGUUAAGUGGGAAACGAUGUGGGAAGGCACAGACAGCCAGGAUGUUGGCUUAGAAGCAGCCAUCAUUUAAAGAAAGCGUAAUAGCUCACUGGUCGAGUCGGCCUGCGCGGAAGAUGUAACGGGGCUAAACCAUGCACCGAAGCUGCGGCAGCGACACUAUGUGUUGUUGGGUAGGGGAGCGUUCUGUAAGCCUGCGAAGGUGUGCUGUGAGGCAUGCUGGAGGUAUCAGAAGUGCGAAUGCUGACAUAAGUAACGAUAAAGCGGGUGAAAAGCCCGCUCGCCGGAAGACCAAGGGUUCCUGUCCAACGUUAAUCGGGGCAGGGUGAGUCGACCCCUAAGGCGAGGCCGAAAGGCGUAGUCGAUGGGAAACAGGUUAAUAUUCCUGUACUUGGUGUUACUGCGAAGGGGGGACGGAGAAGGCUAUGUUAGCCGGGCGACGGUUGUCCCGGUUUAAGCAUGUAGGCUGGUUAUCCAGGCAAAUCCGGAUAAUCAAGGCUGAGGUGUGAUGACGAGGCACUACGGUGCUGAAGUAACAAAUGCCCUGCUUCCAGGAAAAGCCUCUAAGCAUCAGGUAACAUCAAAUCGUACCCCAAACCGACACAGGUGGUCAGGUAGAGAAUACCAAGGCGCUUGAGAGAACUCGGGUGAAGGAACUAGGCAAAAUGGUGCCGUAACUUCGGGAGAAGGCACGCUGGUGUGUAGGUGAAGCCCCUGCGGGUGGAGCUGAGACCAGUCGAAGAUACCAGCUGGCUGCAACUGUUUAUUAAAAACACAGCACUGUGCAAACACGAAAGUGGACGUAUACGGUGUGACGCCUGCCCGGUGCCGGAAGGUUAAUUGAUGGGGUUAUCCGUAAGGAGAAGCUCUUGAUCGAAGCCCCGGUAAACGGCGGCCGUAACUAUAACGGUCCUAAGGUAGCGAAAUUCCUUGUCGGGUAAGUUCCGACCUGCACGAAUGGCGUAAUGAUGGCCAGGCUGUCUCCACCCGAGACUCAGUGAAAUUGAACUCGCUGUGAAGAUGCAGUGUACCCGCGGCAAGACGGAAAGACCCCGUGAACCUUUACUAUAGCUUGACACUGAACAUUGAGCCUUGAUGUGUAGGAUAGGUGGGAGGCUUUGAAGCGUGGACGCCAGUCUGCGUGGAGCCAACCUUGAAAUACCACCCUUUAAUGUUUGAUGUUCUAACGUUGGCCCCU